rnacentral:rRNA from 1 species
CCAAUAGCGUAUAUUAAAGUUGUUGCAGUUAAAAAGCUCGUAGUUGAAUUUCGGGGUCAGUAGGUUGGUCAUGCCACUGGUAUGUACUGGUCUCACUGAUUCCUCCUUCCUGAUGAGCCGUAAUGCCAUUAAUUGGGUGUUGCGAGGAAUCUGGACUGUUACUUUGAAAAAAUUAGAGUGUUUAAAGCAGGCUAACGCUUGAAUACAUUAGCAUGGAAUAAUGAAAUAGGACGUUCGAUCUUAUUUUGUUGGUUUCUAAGAUUGACGUAAUGAUUAAUAGGGAUAGUUGGGGGCAUUAGUAUUCAAUUGUCAGAGGUGAAAUUCUUGGAUUUAUUGAAGACUAACUACUGCGAAAGCAUUUGCCAAGGAUGUUUUCAUUAAUCAAGAACGAAAGUUAGGGGAUCGAAGACGAUCAGAUACCGUCGUAGUCUUAACCAUAAACUAUGCCGACUAGGGAUCGGAUGAUGUUAAUUUUUUAAUGACUCAUUCGGCGCCUUACG